rnacentral:lncRNA from 1 species
UUUAAGCCUUGAUCUCAAUUUGAGCUAAAAACCAUUGUUAAAGAUUUAAAAGUCUAGAUAAAAUAAAUUUAUAGACCAAUGUAGAAGAGAUCUAGAAAUACAUAACCACAGGUUCCCUGAUCUGUACAGGUUCAUGUGUUAUUAGAACAUAUGCAAAAACUGAUAAAGAAAGGAAAUAAUGUAGAUGAUGUAAGAAAUCAAAAUAAAGUAUUCUUUAUUUUACACAUAAACAUCUCAUUAUUCCAGCACAGUUCACUGAAAAGACUAGUCAUUCUCCAUUGAAUUGUCUUUGACUUUUGCUAAAAAAAAAAAAAAAAAAAAAAAAAAAAAAAGGUGAUUAUUCCUAUGUGAGUCUGUUCCUGGUUUCCGUUACCUUGAUGCAUGUGUCUAUACCUCAUCAAUAUAACACCGUCUUGAUUACUGCAGAUGAAUAGCAAAAAAACACACGUUUUAAUACUAACUUUUCCACAGAUUAAAACCCUGUAAAUUUAACUUAUUGAAGUUCUACCACACAAUGUCUGUGUAUAUAAUUGUUCCCUGUCUGGUUUCCUUAUGUGGAAAUUGGUUAUUAAGGUUAGCCUGUGUUCCCAGGAUGUAUCAAGCAAAGCUGAACCAAGAGGAACCAUCCUUCACUUCAGAAAAUGAGUGGGAACAUAUUGAAAACAUUUGCAAGCCUGAUAGGACCAUAUGGUAGGGGGAGGGGAAGAGAAGGAAAGGAGCCAUCAGGGGGCAUUCUGAGAAAAGGAGGUAGGAGUAAUUUAGCAUGUGCAAUAUGGACAAGAAGAGGAAUAGUACUGCAGUUAAAUAUUUUACUUUCCUGACAUCAUCUUUCUUCCAAGGUUAAUCUAUUGACAUCUAACCAAGAAAAUCCAUAGUGUAGAUGAAUGUAAGACACAUAGGAUGCAACUAAUUUUUAGAGUAACUUUUUAACCAGAGAAUUUUUCUUAUGUUAAAAAAAAAAAGACCCAUGAAAUAUAAAAGCUAAAGCUAAGAUUUUAAAUGGUGCUUUUUAAACAUAGCAACGAGAUUGCAGAGCUAAAGUCCUUCUGUUCCACUGAUAAAUGUCCUUUUACAGAGAUUUGGCUCCCAGAUGGCCAUUCUAUCUCCAUCACCCACUUCCCCAAAAGAAAUAAUACUAGCUGCUGAUUUUUUUUCUCUAACCAGAAUAUAUUUAGCUUUCUUUUACAGUUCUUCACACUGAGAGUCUAACUCUGAGUCAAGCUAAAACAGCUUCAUCUCAUUCAUUUUGCAUGAGUUCAACUAUUUUUUUUAUUAAUCUUAAAGCAAUGUGGAAAUGCUUUUGCAGUCAUUUCACUUUUAUGAUAAAUGAUUUUGUAAUUGUUUUCAUUUCAAAACUGUUUUACAACCUCCCUCUUUUCUUUCAGCCCUAUUCUCUUAUAUUAGCAUAGCUUGAGUUUGAGCACAGACCCCAUUUCUGCUGAAUUAUUAUCUUCAGGUUGGAUCAAUUUAGUCCCUGGCCAGUCUUUUUCUUACUUAUUGUGUAAUUCUUUAAAAAGAAACUAGUUGAAUUCUAGGAAUUUCAAAUUGCUUUAAUUUUAAAACUAAUGUAUAUCUGAUAGCCCCUGGUUAUGGACCCUACUUAAGUACUAAAUCUUAAGAGUGCUUGCAUCCUGAUAAGCAGAGUAACCCUAAUCCUACUGAUUUUAAAACUCUGUGCAGGAGCUCCCAGUGUGGUUCAGCCAUAAGGAACUCAACUAGUAUCCAUGAGGACACAAGUUUGAUCCCUGGUCCCACUCCAUGGGUUAAGGAUCUAGUGUUUCGGGGAGCAAUGGUUUAGGUUACAGAUGUGGCUCAGAGCUGGCCUUGUUGCUGUGGUGUAGGUGGCAGCUACAGCUCCUGAUUUGACCCCUAGCCUGGGAAUUUCCAUAUGCUGUGAGUGUGGUCCUAUCACGAAAUGGUCAAAUAAAACAAACUGCAAUAGUUUAAAACUCGAGUAGUCUACAGUUUGUAGCUUUUGCAGAGUGUCCUGUUACCAUCAGGAAUUUAAAAGUCAUGGAAGAUAUAGCCCAACUGAAAUAUAUAAUUGGAUCAGGAGAUCUUUAUUUGUUUAGAUGUUCUCUCUCUUCUGCAGUUUUCCCUUUCUAUUUCUUCUCCUUUCCUUCUUUCACUCCUUCUUUCCUUCUCCUUCCUGCCCUUUCCUCUUCCCAUGUAUUUCUUUAUAAAAAAGAAACUAUAAAAAAGCACAACUAUAGUUCUCAAUGGCAUGUCUUAGAAUUAGAUUGAAUGUCACUCUUUAUUCUAUUUUGAUGGACUGUUCACAAAUUCAAAACAGUAUAAACUGAGCUAGAGAUAAACUUAAAUAGUAAAUUUAAUACAUAGGAUAAAUGUAUGAAUACACACAUACACAUAUGCACACAGAGAUGUUAAAAUGGACAUUCCAACAAUGUUCCUAAGAGAAUUGUAACCAAAACGGAUAUUUACAAUUUCUGAUACAUUCACUUUAAGAAUAAAGUUAACUUAGAAAAUCUUUUGGAAACAUCCAUUGUCUGUCAAAUUUUCAUUCCACAAAUGGAAACUAUAGUUGAUUUAUUAUAUUAUCUACUGGAAAAGAUGUUCUACAGCACAGGAUUUAGAACACUAAAAAAUUCUCCCGGGUUUAUCAUUUCAGUGGUUAUGUCAUUUUUAUACAAUGAAGAUAUACUUGUAUUUCAUAACUCUGAUACAUUUUCUUAGAUUGUUGGAGCUGUGUUUAUCAGCAGGUCAUGUCAUGUCUUUGAGGAAUCAAUUAUCAUAAUACUUACUAAAAGGACAUGCAUAAAACAAUAGAGUAUUCCUGUUCCAAUCAGAGAUGACAACUCCACAAAUACUUCUAUGUGCAUUUUAGAACUAUGCCUUUACAGCUUGUUUUGAUCUCAAGCUAAUUUAGGUAAAUUUUUAAAUAAUAAGAAUACAUGUUAUAUUAUUGCAUAAUAUAACUCAGUGCUAAAGUCUUAUGUUUCACCUAUCGGUUGCCCUCAAGCCUCAGUGAAAAUUUUAGUGCCUAUGCCCUAAACUAUCUGAUCUUGAAUUUUCAAAAGAAAUUUAAGUGACUCAAAUAGAGGUUAAAGGAUUUAUUCAGAUUUUGUGAAACAGAGCAUCUGAAGAUGAAGUAGUUUCCUAACUGAAGCAGUCAGAGGUUCUGACAAGACUGGGAGAGUUGAGUAGCUGACUUCAUGGUUUUGAUUUAAGCAGUGAUUUUUGACUUUAAGCAAAACUUAUGGUUGUGGGUCAUGUCUUUUGCUUAGGGUUACAAUAACAGUUUUUUUCCAGAAUGAUUUUUACAAGUCUUGUGGUUUAUAAGCAACCCAUGGUUCCUGAGAUGGGGCAGAGAUAUAAGCAGAAAGGAAAAGAAAGUGAGUUUAUGGGAGUCAGAGUGAGGAAGAGAAAAAGCUAGAAGGCAAGCAGGAAAAUGGCAAUGCUCUAUGGUAUUUGUUUUGUCCUUUACACCUUAUAUUUGGCCUUGUGCUGCAAGUGUUGAUGGCCAGAGACUUUCCUGACUUACCUCCCAUGUUGAUUAAAUCUUGUAUUUAAAUGUGUGGAACAGUUUAAUGAUGGGGACCUUUACACAGAUAAGGGGGGGGGAGUGGCCAAAAAAGACACCACUUGAGGAAAAUAUAAUUAGUCAGGUGAAUUAUCUGGUGAGAAAAAAAAAAUCAUUAUAUGGAGGAAUUACUCUGUAUGUCAAUCUCACUUGUGUUAGAUCCCCUACUCCCCACCAACCGCCCACAACACAGGUACAGAUUUCAAAUAUAUAAGCAAAGUUUUACCUUUUAUAAAAAUUGCAUUGAAGGAGCAAAGAGAGGAACACUCAGAGGGAGGUGGGAAAUUUUUUUUCUUUCUCCAUGAGGAAGGCAAUUAAAGGAAGCUUCCAAGAAUUGAUUUAUGAUUUGCCGGGAUGGAAGGUCCUCAUGAUCCUGAGUUAAGGAAGAAUGCUUCAUGAGCCUCAGAGGAGAUAAGACCUCAUAAACUCAGUAGAGAAUAGUAUACUGGGUAAUGUACUUAAAAGUGAACCCACAUCGAAAAUUGUCUUAAAGGAGUAUUGGUGAUAUAGAAUUAAAAUUGGUCGUUAUAUUUAUCCUGUAAAUAUUAAUGAUUUAUCAUAUUUUGAUAUUUUGUCUUCCUCUAAAAAUAGAAAGUAGCACUCUAUUCUUAUGGGAAGGAUGAUAUGUCAUUUUAUUUAUCAAACUUUCUACCACUUGAUGUGUGCAUAUGUAUUUUUUUCCUGUUGAUCCCUCUGAACUAAAAUGUGAGGUCCAAGAUUCAGAGUUUUUGUCUGUUUCUUUUACUGCUGUAUUUCCAGGACAUAUUAUAAAUAUUCAAUACAUAUUUUUAAAUUAAUGAAUAGAAAUCAUGAUAUCUUGAUCAUACUACAUGUAUAACAUCCAAUAUUUAUUUCAAUGAAAGAAAACCAAACACAGAACUUCUUUAUGUAUGAAAAGAUGUGACUCCAAAUUUUUUUUUCCAGAAUGGAUCAUUUCAGGCAGAAGAAAAAUUCACUAAUUGUGUUGGGACCUCAGAAUGUCUCAGUGUUCUAUAUAUUCUCAAAGUACAUCAGAAAUCUACUGUGCACUCAGAGCCCUGCAUCAGGUACUUCAAAAACAAAGAUUCUAAAUUAGUAUCUAUUUAAAACAAUGGUCCUAAAAUUGCCUCAAAGGGAUUAAAGUAAUGUGUGAAAAAAGAACUAUAGGCGAGCUGUUAUAUUUCAUCACCUUCAAGCUAACAUAUUGAAAAAUAGAUAUAGAUACAACAAUAACCUAAAGAAAAUCUUAGUAAGAAAAUGGCUAUCAAAAUUCCUCUGUUAAAAAUCAAAGAGAAAGAAAUCUCUGGUGUCUCAUUCUCUUCCUAUAAGACACUAGUCUUAUGGGAUUAGGGCCUCGCCCUCAGGACUUAACAUUUUUUAGCUCUAUAUAGGCAUGAUCUCCAAACCAGUCACAUGGAGGAUUGGGACUUCAACAUAUGAAUUUUAGGAGAACACAACCUAGGUCAUAAUUCCAUGUUGAAAAGAAAGGAGUUAAAUUAAUGUUUUUCUCCCUAUGCUCUAGUAAACUCCCAAUAUGCCUAUAGGAGACUGAAAAAAUCUUCUCUGUAAUAUUUGGGCCAAACUCAAAUUUCUGUCAAGAAUGGCUUUUCACAGCACAAGGUCCAAUAGAGUUCCCUUACAAUAAACUCCAUCAUAUGCAUAGCAGGAACACAUUCAAGGUUAACACAGCCCAAACUAUCAGACUUUUAAGGAAAAUCUAUUUUUAGUUUUUGAACCAUAUGAAUGUGUUACCUAUUUAAAAAGUUAAAAAACAGCAACACACCUCCAUAGAAGGGUUGAAAGAAAAACAAGCUCCAUUUCCUACUAAUUAUUACCC